rnacentral:sRNA from 2 species
AGCUGCCCUCCAAUUUUGGGCGGCUUUGCCCUAGCACCGUAUAAAAUGUCGUUGAUCCCACCUCUCUUCCUUUGUGCUUCCUUUCAAACCUUCUCGUCUUCCUUCUCCCUUGCCCUAUCAACUUUCCACAUUUUAAUUCCAGCGCCGCCCCCCUCCUCUCCCCCGAAGUCAGGUUGCUUGUGAAUACUUCCACAGAGCCACUCCUCUUGGUCGUUGCAACCGUCGUUCUCGAUAGGUGCCCCUGCCUCUUUUCAAUCCUAACAAGCACCGCUACCGGAUCGAUUCCAUUCUCUAUAAGGAGACUCCAGCUAGAAUUGGGCAUUUGGGUAGCCUGGAAUGGCUUUCCCCUAAGCAAAGGACCUAUGUACAUGUACAUACACACCUCCCUACCACGCCUCCCUCUCCCCCGUUCCUAACGAUGGAACUGUAUCUCCCCGCUUUCUUGUCGGUAUCAGGUCAUCGUAGAGGAAUUUGCCUACCCCACACAAUAUGCGUCAUCAGCGUGAAAACUUCAGCAUGCAUCUUAUUCCUCCCUUACCUUCGUCAAAAAAAUGGGCCACCAAAAUAGUCCCUAUUACUCUUGUAUAUCUUGCCCCCUCUCGUCUGUGAUGGCUGGAGAUCACUCAAUCUGGGCCCUGUUGCAGAGUGUGUGAGCAACUAUAUUAACACAUGUGUGACGGAGACCGCAACGAAUGUUUUAUAUGUAGGUAUACUCUUACCAUAACUCCCAAAUUCCAUAUAUCCGCACUAAAGUUCCAACCGCAACCAAGAACAACUUCUGGAGCACAAUAAUAGCCGGACUGUAUUGGACGGGUACCAAGUUGAACAGCAUCAUCAUGACUACCGUUGCCAAGUUGAGUCGCAGGUGCUGAAAUUGGUAAUUUGAGGAUACAUAUUGCCUAGUCCUCUCAAA